rnacentral:lncRNA from 10 species
CAGGACUCGGGUUGUUUUCUCAAAUGCAUGUGCGAUCAGUGUUCUGUUGAAGACUCUGGAGGCCCCUCUACACAUCUCUGAAGCUCUAUCUGUACAACUCCUUCCUCCAAGGCUUUGGCCUAGUCCUAUGCAUUCCAGCCACGGUGAUCUCCCUGGACUUCAAUUCUGGAUACCUCUGGGCUCCGCCUGAGUUACCUUCCCCAUGCUGUGGCCUGAAAACUCAAGGCAGUAAACUAGAGCAAUAGUAAGUUUCACCUGGUUUGGUUCCUGUCUGUUAGAGAUUACUAGUCUUCAUUUCGAAAGUGAAGAUGAAAUAAACGUUUUUUCAGGCAAACAAAAGCAGAGAUAAUUCAUCACAAACAGGUCUUUAACAAAAAUGUGAAAGAAAGUUCUUCUGGCAGAAGAAAAAUUAUACGAGAUGGAAAUUAGAAUCUACACAAAGGAAUGAAGAGUGUCACAAAUGUUUUUGGAAUACUUUCUAAUCAUGGUUGGUUGCAUCUGCAGAUGUGGAACCCGAGGAUACAGAACACUGACUGUACACAAAAAAAGUCCCUACAAAUUGAUAGAAAACAACCCAAAAAUCCAGGAGGAAAAAACAGGCAGGGGAUAUGAACAAGCAACUCACAGAAGAGAAAAUGCAAAUAGCCGAUAAACAUAUUAAAAGAUGCUCAGCAUCACUGGUGGUCAGAUAAAUACAAAGUAAAACCACAAGAAGACACCAUUUACCACUUCAAAAUGUAAGAGAGCAAUAACAGUUAGUGCUGACUGGGAUGCAGGGGAACAGGCACUUCCUUCCACUAAGGGUGGGAAUGUGAUUAUGUCAGAAUUUUGAAAAAGUAAUCUGACAGUAUCUAUUAAUAUUAAAAUACAUAUAUUUCUAGAACAAGCAAUUCCACUUUGGGAAAUAUACCCUACAAAAAUAAAAGUACGAGUUCAUAUGUAUAUACCAGGAUAUUUUUGCAACAUUAUUUGUCCUGGUAAACAAUUCCCAGGGAAAAAAAAAGGAAUAUCUAAUAAUAAGCAUAGCUCAUAUAUAAUAUUAUGUAGCUAUUUAAAAGACUUUAUCUGAGACAAAAGGAAAAACUCUGUAACAUACAAAGAGGUCUCAGGAAUCAAUCUUGAAAAGAAUGAAUACUCCAAACUUUCUAAUGGGCAUAGGAUACUAACACAUAGUUCACAGAAAAAAAUUAAAUCCCCUUGAAGACUGGAAAACAUACUCAAUCUCCCUUAUAAUAAGAAAAAUGCAAAGUUAAAACUACCCUGAGAUACCAGUUUUCACCUAUCAUAUUGGCAAGGAAGAGAAAGUUUAAUGACUCGCCACGAUGGCAAGAGUGUGGGGAUUUGGGUCCCACCUUACUGGUGAACUAUAAAUGGCACAACCUCUCUGGAGAACAAUUGGACUAUAAGUGUCAAAACUGAAAUCAGCAAUGGACCUAGCAAGUCCCUUUCUAGAAAUGUAUCCCACAGAUAAAUAUACAUGUAUGCAAAGUGAUAUAAUUACAAGGUUAUUCAUUCCAACAUUGUUUGUAAAUGCCAGAGUAGGAAAAAAAACAGCUGAAUUUCCACUGGAAGUACAUUAAAUAUAUUUUGUAUUUCCAUAUAAUGGAAAGCUAGGCAGUCAUUUAAAAGAACGAAACCAAAUAAUAAUAAUAAUAAUAAUAACAAAGAAUGAGGCAGUUUUACAAACUGAUAAGGAACACUUUCCAAGAUAUAUUAUUAAGUGAAAAAAGCAAGAGAAAACAAUGUGAGAAGAAUUCUACCCAGAAUAGAACAGGUUUUCAGGCAUAGAACAGCACUGCAGGGCUUCAAAAGAGAACUGAUAACAGUGAUUGCUCUGAGAAGGGGAAAUGAGUGGCUUUGGGACAGGAAUACUAGGAGCACAA